rnacentral:rRNA from 1 species
UACGGGGGGGGCAAGCGUUUGUUCGGAAUUACUGGGCGUAAAGGGCUCGUAGGCGGCCAACUAAGUCGGAUGUGAAAUCCCCAGGCUCAACCUGGGAACUGCAUCCGAUACUGGAUGGCUUGAGUUUGGGAGAGGGACGCGGAAUUCCAGGUGUAGCGGUGAAAUGCGUAGAUAUCUGGAGGAACACCGGUGGCGAAGGCGGCGUCCUGGACCAACACUGACACUGAGGAGCGAAAGCCAGGGGAGCAAAGCGGG